rnacentral:rRNA from 1 species
CCAGACUCCUACGGGAGGCAGCAGUGAGGAAUAUUGGUCAAUGGGCGCAGGCCUGAACCAGCCAAGUCGCGUGAGGGAAGACUGCCCUAUGGGUUGUAAACCUCUUUUAUAAGGGAAGAAUAAUGACUACGUGUAGUCAGAUGCCCGUACCUUAUGAAUAAGCAUCGGCUAACUCCGUGCCAGCAGCCGCGGUAAUACGGAGGAUGCGAGCGUUAUCCGGAUUUAUUGGGUUUAAAGGGUGCGUAGGCGGUAUUUUAAGUUAGUGGUAAAACGUCGGGGCUUCACCUUGAUUGGCCAUUAAAACUGGAGUACUAGAGUACAGACGAGGUAGGCGGAAUAAGUUAAGUAGCGGUGAAAUGCUUAGAUAUAACUUAGAACCCCGAUAGCGAAGGCAGCUUACCAGACUGUUACUGACGCUGAAGCACGAGAGCGUGGGUAGCGAACAGGAUUAGAUACCCCAGUA